ensembl:lncRNA
GCUGGACUCCACCCAUAAAAGAAACACAGACUGGUAAAUGGUUUGUUCUACUAAAAAGCCAAGGGCGUUGGGAGCAAGAGUCUUUCGUCCAUAAAAAAGCGGGACUAUUGUGUUACCGUACAAUUGCCAUACUAUGUGGCCUGCUCACUAAAGCAACCAACAAUUUGGCCAUUUCCUAGCUCACUACAAAAUCAGCACCCCAGCUUUCAGAACUCAGGCACCAAAGGAUGAUAGCCCCUCUGCAGAUUUGCCCACUCUUGCCGGCAGUUCCACAGAGUAAUCCCAACGAAAACACAGGCUCUCACUUUCUUCCUUCUCAUCAAGGGAUCCCUGUGACCAGCUACCCUGCCCUCUGAGGACAGUGCCUCCCCAGCUGCCUAUGCUCCUGGCAACCAAGCCUUGCUGUCCACAGGCUUGGAUUCAACCACUCUGCUUCCUCUCAUGCUUUCCAACCCUCUGAAUACACACUCAUUUAUUUAUGUUUUUAAUGUAGUAAAUGGGCAGCUAAAUGAUUUGCGAUUUGUAUUUUUUAUGGUUAAUUUGAAAUCUCGCUCUUGUUGGCUAAUCCUGUUAGUUGAUGGCAAAACAGAGAGAAACUGUUGCCCUUGUCGAGACUCUAACAGGCAUUUGAUGUUAAAUUACAAUUGGCCAGAACAAAAGAAGAAGCCGGAUUUCUUGACCCAGCGGCCUGGAGACCAGAUGAAAAGAUCCCAUAGCCCACCUAAUCCUCACCACGAUGCCCAUCCACCUCGAAUUGAUGCCCACAGUGUGUGGCCUUCUGGGGAUUUCGAGAGCUAUAUGGGGCUCUGAGGAGCAGCAGGCACCAUCUGAAAGCUUUUACAGUUCACCACAACCAUGGUGGAAUGACAAAGCUUCCUGAGAAUGUUCUUAUAUGGGGCUCUCCACCUGACCACCACUUCCCCUGUGCAGGAUGCCAGUUGGAAGCAGGAAUUGAAUCCACCAGAAUCUAUCCAUUGUUGUGAGCUCCAGGUUCUGGUGCUAUAUUCUUGUCAGUUCUCUUAUUUCUCCAGUAUUUCUCCUAUAUCUCAUCAGCACACAAUUAACAUCUCUGAUAGUUCUCUCCCCAACAAAAAAUUAAUCUGUAAAAUUUAUCUCUAGAUAAAUCUCUAGAGCCAGGUACCUGAGGUUCAAGGCUGAUAAGGAGCAGGGGUUCCAGGAAGCCCCAUCAGCGAGCUUGGCUCCCUGAAUUUGGCAUCCACUGAGCAGCACCUCCAGCUAUCAGCUUCUCAACCAGCGAGGUCCCUGCAGAAGCAUCCUCAGCUAAGUCCAGAACCUGAUUUCCACUGAUCAUUCAAAUUUGGGUCCUUGUGUCAUGACUACUGAACUGGAAGCUGCUAGUUCCCAGGCCGAUAAAGGCACAAAUCCAAUGGUCUUGUUAGCAGUGUCUGUGAGUUGGGCAUGGAAAGGCACGCGAGCACACACACACACACACACACACACACACACACACACACACACACAGGUCCAGAUCAGUAAAGUAAGGCAGGAAAGUUCAAGUUCAGAUAAGAGGAGCAAUCCAUGUAUGGGUUACCCUUUCCAGCUACUCAGGCCCAGCAGCUGGAACACCAGAGCCUUCCUUCUCCAGAGAGUCCAUAGCUUAAAGGUCAGGAAGAGAUAGAAAAGACAGGCCUUUUUAAAGCCUUUGGAAACAACUAACUUUUAAAUGAGCCUCUACUAUGUAACCAGAAUAGAGUUUAGACCAAAGAGGUCCUGGUCUCAUCCUAUUUCCUAGAAGAUAGCAGAGCCUAGAGCUCUGAGCCUUAGCAAUAUACUAAAUUAUCGAUUAGUUUUUAAAGAGGCACCCAACCAUGAAUUAGCAACCCACACCAUUAAAAUGUGGGAUCAGCAAUAUUUGGUUUUGCAGAGCCCAUUACUUCUUACACACACACACACACACACACACACACACACACACACACACACACACACGUCUAUAUUAAAUAUGGAAAAGAAAAAGAAAUUGGAAAGAGAAACAAAAUAUUUGGAUCUCUCUCUCUCUCUCUCUGACUAAUAAAAUUGUUAUUAACACUUUUCUCA